GUACUCACUUCGGCAGCACAUAUACUAAAAUUGGAAAGAUACAGAGAAGAUUACCAUGGCCCCUGCGCAAGGAUGGCAUGCAAAUUUGUGAAGCAUUCCAUAUUUUU
rnacentral:snRNA from 1 species